rnacentral:tmRNA from 1 species
GGGGAUGCGUGGUUUCGACAGGGGAUCAGCUUGGCAGGAUUGCAGGCCGAGUUCGCCGCCCACUCGCUAAUCAGACGGCAAGACAUCAACUGCCGACGAACCAGUCGCACUGGCUGCUUAAGAACGUAGCCACGCCCCGAUAGCCCGCUCCGGCGGCUACCGGACGCGCCAUAGAGCCGGAGUGCAGUGGCUCUGACGCCGCUGCGAGCCACUCAAGACUUCGCGGCAGGUGGCGGGACGGCCCGCCGGUGGGCCCGCUCAGCCACCCUUUCAAACGCCGGCUAAGCCUGUAGUACAUCCGCGCUGAGCGUCUUCUGGACGGGGAGUUCGACUCUCCCCCAUCUCCACCA